CGAUUAAUAUUUUCAUCAGCUUAAAGAGAUCAAGCUUAAAUGCCACGAGUUCUCCUGGCGCGUCCGAUAGCCGCAGGUGUUUCCUCCCUCUCCUGCCGGUGAUGCGCCCUCCUCGCCUCGCUUCUCGCACCACGAGAGCGAGGCUUUUU
rnacentral:sRNA from 1 species